CCUACGGGAGGCAGCAGUGAGGAAUAUUGGUCAAUGGGCGCGAGCCUGAACCAGCCAAGUAGCGUGAAGGAUGACUGCCCUACGGGUUGUAAACUUCUUUUAUAUGGGAAUAAAAUGUUCCACGUGUGGGAUUUUGUAUGUACCAUAUGAAUAAGGAUCGGCUAACUCCGGGCCAGCAGCCGCGGUAAUACGGAGGAUCCGAGCGUUAUCCGGAUUUAUUGGGGUUAAAGGGAGCGUAGGUGGGUUGUUAAGUCAGGUGUGAAAGUUUGCGGCUCAACCGUAAAAUUGCAGUUGAAACUGGCAGUCUUGAGUACAGUAGAGGUAGGCGGAAUUCGUGGUGUAGCGGUGAAAUGCUUAGAUAUCACGAAGAACUCCGAUUGCGAAGGCAGCUCACUGGACUGCAACUGACACUGAGGCUCGAAAGUGUGGGUAUCAAACAGGAUUAGAUACCCCAGUAGUC
rnacentral:rRNA from 1 species